UAAGUAAGAUGUGAAAUCACAGGGCUCAACCCUGUGGCUGUGUCUUAAACUGGCAAACUAGAAACAUGAGAGGUCACUGGAAUUCCUAGUGUAGGAGUGAAAUCCGUAGAUAUUAGGAGGAACACCAAUGGCGAAGGCAGGUGACUGGCAUGUUUCUGACACUGAGGCUCGAAAGCGUGGGGAGCGAACGGGAUUAGAUACCCCGGUAGUCCGCGCCGUAAACGAUGGAUACUA
rnacentral:rRNA from 1 species